AACAAAUCCCCCUGAGUCCAUUGUAAAUGAAGCAGAAAGAAUUGUGGCCAGGGCUAGCCGGAAUAACAUUUCCUCUGCACACAAGAUCAUAUCAUCCUGCCCACCAAGCUUGGGAAGACAUUACUCAGCCUUCAGUUCAACUAUAACUUAUUUCAUUUCAAGUACCAAGAUAAUACUUCUUAAGUGGCAACAGAAUAUAUAGAAACAUUCAGAAGACAGAGAUUUAUACUUAAAUAUGUAAGAAUACAAUGCAGGAAACAUAGAAAUAAUGAGUUAUACGCCAUAAGGACACAGAUAUUUUUCCCCUGUUCCUCUUUGACAACUCCAUGGAUUGCCAUCAGGCCAUCAGGAUACAAUUUUGUGGCUCUACUCCCAGAAGUUUGAGGUGUUUUUUCCUUAAUGGAUAUGUGGGAGAUAAGUCUUGUCUGAAUUUCACAGUUGAAGCCAUGAAGAGGAAAAGUACUCUUCCAAGCCUUAGCUUCUUUUAGGAAAAUCUUGUCCCCCAAAUAAAACUCUUCCCACACACUUUAUAAAAACAAUGGAUUAGAAGAAAGAGUAAAUAUGAUUACCGGUAGCUCAAGCCCUCAGCCUAAGUAGAAGACUAGAAUAGCCAUCUCUAAGUCCAAACCCAAACAAGGAGGAACGUGGGAAUGUUGUGGAGUGUAGGAAAGUUAGUUAGUCUUAGAUGUGGCAGAAAAUUUAAAACAAAAAAUAAACACAAACUGAUAAGAUCAAUGACAGUUCACUACAGAAAGAACAUCUCUCAUUAAAUGGAAAAAUAAUGAAUCUAGUGCGUCAGUUUGCAAAAUACUAGGGAGUCCAAAGGAAAAGGAUUGGAAAGCUUGCAAGAUCUGAACUGGCUUUCUUAAAAAGGCACCACUUACAAGGCAGAAAGGGGACCUUGUGUAGUAGUUUCGUAGGCUGCAUAACAAAUUACCACACAUUUAGCACCUUAAAACAGCGUACAUGUAUCAUCUCACAAUUGCUGUAAGUGAGAAACCUGGGCACUGCUCAGCUGGGUGAUGGUCUGCAAAGCUACAAUCAAGAUAUCAUGAGGGUUGGAUCAUCAUCUGGAGGCUUGACUGGGGAUGGAUCCACUUCCAAGAUUACUCAGAUUGUUGGAAGAAUCGCAUUUUUUUAUGGCUGUGGAUUCCAUAGGAGCUUAUUUAUUCAAAGACAGCAACGGAGACAGAGACUCUAGAGCAAGUUUGCCAGCAAGAGUUUUCUGUAACAUGACAAAAAUCACGAGUGACAUCACAUCAUCUUUGCCCUAUUGUGUUGGUUACAAGCAAGUGACAGGCUCUGCCUACACUCACGGAGAAGAGACUGCACAACAGCACAAACAGCAGGAACUGGGAAUGAUGAAGACUGCCUAGCAAUCUACCUGCCAUAUCUUGGAAAAGAGAUAUUUUCCAGGAAACUGGGUGGUGAAAAAUUGUUUUUGAAAUGACUGACACACUAAAUCAUGCUAAACAUAGCAUAAUAUUUACAAAAUAUUAGAAAAAGAGGGAAAUGUAUCAUUCUUGGUUAAAAAAAUAUUGACCUUCAUUUAAAGUUCUCUUGAAAUAAAACAAUCACCCUAAGCCACCAGUACUUCUCCCCCACUCCCACGGAUUCACUUCUGACACCAAGUCCAGGAAAAUAGUGCAAAUAUGUAAUUCUAAGGACAAAAAAAGUCAAAUUUGGCAUUGAUAGAAAGCAUACUGAAACAAGAAGACAAAAAAUGAUAAUCAAAUAUCUGAGUAUCUGAAAACAAUGUACCAGACCCCAAACUGUCUAAAAGGAAUAAUUAGACAAAUAAAACAGUACACACACUUUUCUUGCUUCGUUUUCUAACGUGAAAGAAACAGUACCUAAGAAGGUUUUUCAGAUACCCAGUUUCAUGAGUUUUAGGUUUAUAUAUCAACCUCUCAGUUUUUACUGUAGCUUGAUGAUGUGUCUAUCUACUAACUUUAUCUUAACUAAAGUACUUUUUCAAUAUAUUUUUUAUUAACAAAUAAAACAUUGGAAUGGC
rnacentral:lncRNA from 1 species